GGACGAACGCUGGCGGCGUGCCUAAUACAUGCAAGUCGAACGCUCUUUUCUUAUCGAACUUCGGUUCACCAAGAAAAGGGAGUGGCGAACGGGUGAGUAACACGUGGGUAACCUGCCCAUAAGAGGGGGAUAACAUCCGGAAACGGGUGCUAAUACCGCAUAGGUUUCUUGGUCGCAUGAUCGAGAAAGGAAGACGGCCUUUGUGCUGUCGCUUAUGGAUGGACCCGNGGCGUAUUAGUUAGUUGGUGAGGUAACGGCUCACCAAGACCGCGAUGGGUAGCCGGCCUGAGAGGGUGAACGGCCACACUGGAACUGAGACACGGUCCAGACUCC
rnacentral:rRNA from 1 species